UACGAAGGGGGCUAGCGUUGUUCGGAAUUACUGGGCGUAAAGGGCGCGUAGGCGGAUAGUUUUAGUCAGAGGUAAAAAGCCCAGGGCUCAACCUUGGAACUGCCUUUGAUACUGGCUAUCUUGAGUACGGGAGAGGUGUGUGGAACUCCGAGUGUAGAGGUGAAAAUUCGUAGAUAUUCGGAAGAACAUCAGUGGCGAAGGCGACACACUGGCCCGUUACUGACGCUGAGGCGCGAAAGCGUGGGGGAGCAAACAGG
rnacentral:rRNA from 1 species